CAAUAUAAGUGAUGGCGACCGGCGCACGGUGAGUAACACGUAUCCAACCUGCCGAUAACUCGGGGAUAGCCUUUCGAAAGAAAGAUUAAUACCCGAUGGUAUAAUAAAACCGCAUGGUUUAAUUAUUAAAGAAUUUCGGUUAUCGAUGGGGAUGCGUUCCAUUAGGCAGUUGGUGAGGUAACGGCUCACCAAACCUUCGAUGGAUAGGGGUUCUGAGAGGAAGGUCCCCCACAUUGGAACUGAGACACGGUCCAA
rnacentral:rRNA from 1 species